AAUCCCAAUGAUGACUGAUUAUGAAAAAAAUGUUAAAAGUAGUGACUGAUAUCUUUUGAUGAAGUUUUUAGCUCUGAGGGAUU
rnacentral:snoRNA from 1 species